GACGAACGCUGGCGGCGUGCUUAACACACGCAAGUCGAACGGUAAGGCCCUUCGGGGUACACGAGUGGCGAACGGGUGAGUAACACGUGGGUGUUCUGCCCUGCACUUCGGGAUAAGCCUGGGAAACUGGGUCUAAUACCGGAUAGGACUCCUGGCUUCAUGGUUGGGGGUGGAAAGCUUUUGCGGUGUGGGAUGGGCCCGCGGCCUAUCAGCUUGUUGGUGGGGUAAUGGCCUACCAAGGCGACGACGGGUAGCCGGCCUGAGAGGGUGACCGGUCACACUGGGACUGAGAUACGGCCCAGACUCCUACGGGAGGCAGCAGUGGGGAAUAUUGCACAAUGGGCGCAAGCCUGAUGCAGCGACGCCGCGUGAGGGAUGACGGCCUUCGGGUUGUAAACCUCUUUCAGCUAUGACGAAGCGCAAGUGACGGUAGUAGCAGAAGAAGGACCGGCCAACUACGUGCCAGCAGCCGCAGUAA
rnacentral:rRNA from 1 species